GACGAACGCUGGCGGCGUGCUUAACACAUGCAAGUCGAGCGGUAAGGCCCUUUCGGGGGUACACGAGCGGCGAACGGGUGAGUAACACGUGGGUGACCUGCCUCUAGCUCUGGGAUAAGCCUGGGAAGCUGGGUCUAAUACCGGAUAUGACCUCGCGGUGCAUGUUGCGGGGUGGAAAGCCUUGUGCGGCUAGGGAUGGGCCCGCGGCCUAUCAGCUUGUUGGUGGGGUGANGGCCUACCAAGGCGACGACGGGUAGCCGGCCUGAGAGGGCGACCGGCCACACUGGGACUGAGACACGGCCCAGACUCCUACGGGAGGCAGCAGUGGGGAAUCUUGCGCAAUGGGCGAAAGCCUGACGCAGCGACGCCGCGUGAGGGAUGACGGCCUCGGUU
rnacentral:rRNA from 1 species